UGCCAGCCGCCGCGGUAAUACGGAGGGGGUUAGCGUUGUUCGGAAUUACUGGGCGUAAAGCGUAUGUAGGCGGAUCAAAAAGUUAGAUGUGAAAUCCCUGGGCUCAACCCAGGAACCGCAUUUAAAACUAGUGAUCUAGAAUUUGGUAGGGGUUAGUAGAAUUUCCAGUGUAGAGGUGAAAUUCGUAGAUAUUGGAAAGAAUACCAGUGGCGAAGGCGACUAACUGGGCCGUGAUCGACGCUGAGGAGCGAAAGCUAGGGGAGCAAACAGGAUUAGAUA
rnacentral:rRNA from 1 species